GAUGAUUAGUGGCGGACGGGUGAGUAACAUUUAGGAAUCUGCCUAGUAGUGGGGGAUAGCUCGGGGAAACUCGAAUUAAUACCGCAUACGACCUACGGGUGAAAGGGGGCGCAAGCUCUUGCUAUUAGAUGAGCCUAAAUCAGAUUAGCUAGUUGGUGGGGUAAAGGCCCACCAAGGCGACGAUCUGUAACUGGUCUGAGAGGAUGAUCAGUCACACCGGAACUGAGACACGGUCCGGACUCCUACGGGAGGCAGCAGUGGGGAAUAUUGGACAAUGGGGGCAACCCUGAUCCAGCCAUGCCGCGUGUGUGAAGAAGGCCUUUUGGUUGUAAAGCACUUUAAGCAGGGAGGAGAGGCUAAUGGUUAAUACCCAUUAGAUUAGACGUUACCUGCAGAAUAAGCACCGGCUAACUCUGUGCCAGCAGCCGCGGUAAUACAGAGGGUGCGAGCGUUAAUCGGAAUUACUGGGCGUAAAGCGAGUGUAGGUGGCUCAUUAAGUCACAUGUGAAAUCCCCGGGCUUAACCUGGGAACUGCAUGUGAUACUGGUGGUGCUAGAAUAUGUGAGAGGGAAGUAGAAUUCCAGGUGUAGCGGUGAAAUGCGUAGAGAUCUGGAGGAAUACCGAUGGCGAAGGCAGCUUCCUGGCAUAAUAUUGACA
rnacentral:rRNA from 1 species